CACAAUACAAGAUAUACAAUUUUUUAAAAUAGGAAAAUAAUAUAUUUAAUUUUAAUUUUAAAAAGAGAAAGGAAAAUGUCGGGUUUGCGGCUUGUCAGCUGCACAUGCGAAUGAAUGGUCAAUGAAUAUGUGUUGAUUAAAGCUAAAGCUAUGUGCAAAUUUAAUUUUGUAAUUUAACAGUCAAUCUUCAGUGAUCGCCACUAUGAAUGUUAAAUGGUGAAUUCGGCUAUUGCAGAUUUGUUAUGUUCAGAUGUUCAGAUCAACAUAUAGGAAAAAAAAAAUCCAGACGAGGCAAAACGAAUUAUUUUGGUAACUAAAGGAUUUCCUCAUGAAAAAUGCUGAGAGAAAGUUUGGCCUCAGAUUAGCAUUUUGGCACAUUAAUCUUCGCCAUCGGUAACCCGGGCAAGAGAUUACCCGAAGCGCAAAAUAGUUACCGAGGCUCAUGCCAUACGCUGUCAUCACCGGCAAGUAGGCAACGCAAACUCCUAUCGACUCUCUCUAUCAGUAACCUGCACGAAAAUCCUACCCAAAAACCUCCUUUUUUCCGGAAAAAAAAGCUAGAAAAAGAUCGAUCCAAAGCCAGAUGAGUUCUUGCAAGAAACUACUAGCACAGGCGCACAACAAUCUUUUGCGGAUCAUGCUAGGCUUUUAUGGAUUUCACGCAAGGAGAAGAAAACCAAAAGAAAUCCAACCGCGCAAAAGAUGGUUAGACGGAGAAACAAGAGACGGAAACGAAAAGGGAACGACUCCCCAGCGGAUCGAAAUGACAACAAGAAACUCUCAGACGAGGAUCGGAAGAAAGCGGCCGCAGGCGAAGCCGCGGAAGAAACCUGCGGCGGCGGCGGGUUCGUUCGCGGAAGCUAGGGUUUCUUUCUUCUGGGGUGGGGCUUGCCGCU
rnacentral:lncRNA from 1 species